rnacentral:rRNA from 1 species
GACGAACGCUGGCGGCGUGCUUAACACAUGCAAGUCGAACGAAGAGCGAUGGAACCUUGCUUCCAUCAAUCUUCGUGGCGCACGGGUGAGUCACGCGAAAUCAACCUGCCCUUCAGUGGGGGACAAUAGUUGGAAACGACUGCUAAUCCCGCAAACGAUCCAAUCUCGGCAUCGGGACUGGAUGAAAGGUGGUCCCUAUUUAUAUGCUAUCAUUGACGGCGGAUAUUGCGUCUGAUUAGCUAGUUGGUGGGGUAACGGCCCACCAAGGCGAUGAUCAGUAGCCGGUCUGAGAGGAUGAACGGCCACAUUGGGACUGAGACACGGCCCAGACUCCUACGGGAGGCAGCAGUGGGGAAUCUUCCGCAAUGGACGAAAGUCUGACGGAGCAACGCCGCGUGAGUGAUGACGGCCUUCGGGUUGUAAAGCUCUGUUAAUCGGGACGAAUGGUUCUUGUGCGAAUAGUGCGAGGAUUUGACGGUACCGGAAUAGAAAGCCACGGCUAACUACGUG